UACGUAGGGGGCAAGCGUUGUCCGGAAUCAUUGGGCGUAAAGCGCGUGUAGGCGGCCAGGUAAGUCCGUUCUGAAAGCCCGGGGCUCAAUCCCGGGAGGCGGAUGGAUACUGCUUGGCUCGAGUCCGGAAGAGGCGAGUGGAAUUCCCGGUGUAGCGGUGAAAUGCGCAGAUAUCGGGAGGAACACCAAUGGCGAAGGCAGCUCGCUGGGACGGUACUGACGCUGAGACGCGAAAGCGUGGGGAGCAAACAGG
rnacentral:rRNA from 1 species